rnacentral:pre_miRNA from 1 species
AGGAGGAACAGCCCCAGUGGCAGGGCCAGCUCUGCAGCCCUGGAGUCAGCCCCCGCAGUAACCGCAGAGCUCUCCGUCUGCAGGGCCUAGAGGCUCCGGGCGGGG